rnacentral:rRNA from 1 species
GUUGACCUCGGAUCGGGUAGGGAUACCCGCUGAACUUAAGCAUAUCAAUAAGCGGAGGAAAAGAAACCAACAGGGAUUGCCCUAGUAACGGCGAGUGAAGCGGCAACAGCUCAAAUUUGAAAUCUGGCGCAAGCCCGAGUUGUAAUUUGUAGAGGAUGCUUCUAGGUUGCGGCCGGUCUAAGUUCCUUGGAACAGGACGUCACAGAGGGUGAGAAUCCCGUAUGUGACCGGCUUGCACCUUCUACGUAGCUCCUUCGACGAGUCGAGUUGUUUGGGAAUGCAGCUCUAAAUGGGAGGUAAAUGUCUUCUAAAGCUAAAUACCGGCCAGAGACCGAUAGCGCACAAGUAGAGUGAUCGAAAGAUGAAAAGCACUUUGGAAAGAGAGUUAAAAAGCACGUGAAAUUGUUGAAAGGGAAGCGCAUGCAACCAGACUUGUCGGCGGUGUUCCGCCGGUCUUCUGACCGGUCUACUCGCCGCCGACAGGCCAGCAUCGUCUGGGGGCGCCGGAGAAAGGUGCCAGGAAUGUAGCUCCUCGGAGUGUUAUAGCCUGGCACACAAUACGGUGACUCCCGGGCGAGGUCCGCGCUUCGGCUAGGAUGCUGGCGUAAUGGUUGCCUGCGACCCGUCUUGAAACACGGACCAAGGAGUCGACCAUCUGUGCGAGUGUUCGGGUGUUAAACCCCUACGCGUAAUGAAAGUGAACGGAGGUGGGAACGCAAGUGCACCAUCGACCGAUCCUGAUGUCCUCGGAUGGAUUUGAGUAAGAGCAUAGCUGGUCGGACCCGAAAGAUGGUGAACUAUGCCUGAAUAGGGUGAAGCCAGAGGAAACUCUGGUGGAGGCUCGCAGCGGUUCUGACGUGCAAAUCGAUCGUCAAAUUUGGGUAUAGGGGCGAAAGACUAAUCGAACCAUAAACCUAACUACUAGGUGGUUAAGAAUCAGUGGGAUUUAGGCCGUGUUAACGGCCGACACCGUCAAAUUGCGGGGAGUCACUCAAGGCUCGUUACUGCCGCCGGCCCUGGAAACAGGUAACCGGCAGGGACGUCCGUCACGGACACCCCCAGGGCAGGGCGAGAUGGGAUGACCCGCAGCCAAGUCCUACGGCCGCCCCCCGGGGUGGUACGGACGCAGUUCACAGACUCAACGGCGGUGGGCUGUGUGUCAAUCACACGGCUUAAGAUAGAGUCGGUCCGGCCGCGAGAGUGGUCUACUGGAACAGCGUUA